UCUUUUGGGCGGGGGUCAAGAGCAAUAACGAAAAAUGUUUGUCAUAAACCGUUUUUCAUUAUUGCUCCUGACCUCCUCUCAUUUUCUAUAUUCA
rnacentral:pre_miRNA from 13 species